GGACUGAAACUCGUCCUCAUGAAGCUGGAUUCGGUAGUAAUCGCCGUUCAGAAGACGGCGGUGAAUACGUCCCUGCUCCUUGCACACACCGCCCGUCAAAGCACCCGAGUGAGGUCCGGAUGAGGCCUGGAUACCCAGGUCGAAUCUGGGCUUCGCAAGGGGGCUUAAGUCGUAACAAGGUAGCCGUAGGGGAAUCUGCGGCUGGAUCACCUCCUAAC
rnacentral:rRNA from 1 species